UACGGAGGGGGCGAGCGUUAUUCGGAAUUAUUGGGCGUAAAGGGCUCGUAGGCGGUCUGUUGCGUCGGGAGUGAAAACUUACAGCUUAACUGUGAGCGUGCUUCCGAUACGGGCAGACUUGAGGUAUUCAGGGGAGAACGGAAUUCCUGGUGUAGCGGUGAAAUGCGCAGAUAUCAGGAGGAACACCGGUGGCGAGGGCGGUUCUCUGGGAAUAUCCUGACGCUGAGGAGCGAAAGUGUGGGGAGCGAACAGG
rnacentral:rRNA from 1 species